rnacentral:rRNA from 1 species
CUGCUGCCUUCCGUAGGAGUUUGGACCGUGUCUCAGUUCCAAUGUGGGGGACCUUCCUCUCAGAACCCCUACGCAUCGUCGGCUUGGUGGGCCGUUGCCCCACCAACUACCUAAUGCGCCGCAUGCCCACCCGUGACCGGGGUCGCCCCCUUUGGCCGGCAGGGGAUGUCCCCUCCCGGCAUUAUGUUGUAUUAGGCGGGAUUUCUCCCGGUUAUCCAUCUGUCACGGCCAGGUUGCAUACGUGUUACUCACCCGUGCGCCGGUCGCCGGCGGCAAG